rnacentral:rRNA from 1 species
GCUUCCCUCUGGCGGCGUGCCUAAUACAUGCAAGUCGAGCGAACAGACGAGGAGCUUGCUCCUCUGACGUUAGCGGCGGACGGGAGAGUAACACGUGGAUAACCUACCUAUAAGACUGGGAUAACUUCGGGAAACCGGAGCUAAUACCGGAUAAUAUAUUGAACCGCAUGGUUCAAUAGUGAAAGACGGUUUUGCUGUCACUUAUAGAUGGAUCCGCGCCGCAUUAGCUAGUUGGUAAGGUAACGGCUUACCAAGGCAACGAUGCGUAGCCGACCUGAGAGGGUGAUCGGCCACACUGGAACUGAGACACGGUCCAGACUCCUACGGGAGGCAGCAGUAGGGAAUCUUCCGCAAUGGGCGAAAGCCUGACGGAGCAACGCCGCGUGAGUGAUGAAGGUCUUCGGAUCGUAAAACUCUGUUAUUAGGGAAGAACAAAUGUGUAAGUAACUAUGCACGUCUUGACGGUACCUAAUCAGAAAGCCACGGCUAACUACGUG